UACAGCCACCUGAGCCUGAUCUCGUCUGAUCUUUGAAGCUGAGCACGGUCGGGCCUGGUUAGUACUUGGAUGGGAAACCGCGUGGGAAUACCAGGUCCAGUAU
rnacentral:rRNA from 1 species